CAGCUGAAGAGAUUCAAGACAUACCUGUCUGAGACAAGUGUGGAGGAGUUUCAGCCCAUCCCCAGAAGACUGCUGGAGGAGGCUGAUGCUACAGAUGUAGCCUCUAAGAUGAAGCAGACAUAUGGGGGAGAGGGCUCAUUGAAGAUGACUCUGAACAUCCUGAGGAAGAUGAACCUCAAUGACCUCGCAGACAAACUGGAAAGGGAUGUUGCCUCAGGAGAAAAAAAUGAUGAUGUAAUCAUUCAAAAAGUCAAAGAAAAACACAAAAAGUGGAUGAUUGAGAGGUUUGAGAACAUUUAUGAGUGUAUCGAGGAGAAAAAGAACAAAACACUCCUGAAUAAGAUCUACACUGAGCUCUACAUCACAGAGGGAGAGUGUGAUGGUGUGAACACCCAACAUGAGGUUCGCAGAAUUGAAAAGCAAUCAAACUGUCAAAGGACAAACGAAAGCAAAAUCAACUGCAAUGACAUAUUUAAUAGCUUAAAAGAUGACGAGAAAAUCAAAACAGUGAUGACCACAGGAAUUGCUGGCAUUGGAAAAACUGUGUGUGUGCAGAAGUUCAUACUCGACUGGGCAGACGGAACGGCCAAUCAAAACAUCGAUUUUAUCUUUCCACUUCCAUUUCGGCAGUUAAAUUUGAUACAAAACGACCUAUACAGUCUUCACAAGCUCCUCCUUGACCUUCAUCCUGCGUU